ACCGUAGAGCCACCGUCCUCUUGCCUGUCCCCCACAGAGCUCAGCAUAGGGGAUAGCCCAUACCCUAUCUGAGGCGAGGCAGGUGUAAAGCAGGGCUGUGGAAUUCAUUCUCUAGUAAAAUGGAGCCCCCAAGAAGUGGAGUCAUAUGGAGUAAUCUGCUGAAAGCCCCCUAUACUUGGUGCCUUGUCGUUCAGCCACAGGGCGGUCCUGCCUCACAGCCCCAAAGAGUUCUUGGCCAGGCUGUAGGUAACAAGGUUUCGGUUGGGAGCAGAGGUGGAAAUCAAACAGCCCAGAACAGCUGAGCUCUCUUGGCAGCCCAUCUUAAGAUUCAGCUGAGCUCUCAGACCAUCACACAGAACCCUGGGGGUGGGGGACUGGUGGUCCAGAAUCUGCCUUUAUUAGAACUCUAAUCGCUGAAAGGUUGGGGUAGGCUCCCCAGCCACCACUUUAGCCGGGCGAAAAUCCAGGUAGAUCACUGUAAUGGGAGGGGUGAGGGGAGCAGAAAGGGAACCCAUCUGUGCAGCAUCGUGAGCGCCCUGGGUCUCUGCCAGGGGCCUCACCCUGGACCUGCAGCCUUGGGCUGGCGCCCUGUUCUGCGGCAGGCUCUGCAGGGGACCCCCAGGCAAGCCGCUGAGAUGCUGUCGGCUCCAGGCAGGAGCUGCAACACCGUAGUCCAUUGCUCAGCGCUUUGUGAUGCGGCUUCCGAGUAACAGAUGGCAGACGGUUACACAAUCGCCAGGCUUUAGACAUGGUGCAGCACCACACUGCCUGCCGCCGAGGGGCUGAGGGGCUUCGUUCUGUUUGGCAUCUGGGGAAACCGAGGCCCUGGGUUUCCCGUGGCAGCUCCAUGCAGAGCCUGCAAGGGAGACCAGGGAUUGCCUUCCAAGGAUUGCCUUCCACGGGAUUGCCUGCUUCUUGAAUCGUUAUUUUGCCCUCUACUCAAGUGGAGAAGAUCCCCUGGUCCUCUGGAAGCUAUCAAGGGAAUCCAGUUUUGCCAAGUGUCGUUACCUGAUCCAGCCCAAAGCAGGAACAUCAGCAGUGAGAGGAACCGACUAUGCCCAGGGGUGGAAAUAGGACAACUCCUUCCCAGGACACCUUCCAGGGGCCAUUGGCAGAUUCUGUCAUCAAGUCAUUCGUGGAUGUUGCAUACUGAACAGGGGGAGCCACGUGUCCGGUUUGCUUGAGAAGGUUUAAGCUGCAAAGACGUAAGAACAAGGAAGCUGCUUUAUGGAGUUUCUGCUGCAGAAGCCUGGGUUCGGCUGUUCCCCCAUCUUCCUUUACGGCGGCCCAGAAAAUGUUCAUGAUAAAGACGGUUGGCUGAGGGGGGAGUGGUUAAUCAUUCUGUUUCCCGAGGUUCAAUUUCUCCUUUCAGGCUUGCUGGGUAACUCUUUAUCAGGUACUUUUCAUUAAAAGUAUCACUCAUUUUCAUUAUAAUUCACUGAUGCUGGCAAAACAUUUUUACCUUUUCAUCCAAAAUUCCUGAGGCAGUUGAUACACUUGAUAAUCCGAGAACAACAAAUAAAGGCCUCUUUUCACCC
rnacentral:lncRNA from 1 species